AAACUAUUUCUUGAAAAGAUUGAGUUUACCUGUUUGGAAGAUGAUUUUGGUUUGUUUGUUAAUUUUAGUUUGGUUUGUUGCCGUAUUUGUAGGCGACUCUCAUCUAAGUCACCGUCCGCUUCAUGGCUGCACCUCUCUCUUCGGUGAAUGCUUCUUUAUUUACAGGUCAAACAACUCCUCAAAGCAUCAGUUGAGGAAACGAGGGGAUUAAAUAUCUCAGAUUACACAUAAGGCAGGGCUUAUUAACUCAGGAAAGUAUGGAACAUAAAAGGGUAUUUUCUAUCGUUGGUGAUGGAUUUGUAAGAGCUAUUUAGAGGGUAUAACAUGACAUGAGUAUGGAUUAUAUUAAGGGGACUUCAAGGAUUCUUAUCCUAAGAGGUACCUAAACUCUCUAUUUCACCAUUGAUCGCAUGAUUCUUUGAUCAUUGUAUGUCAACGAUGAUUGUAUUGUAUGUUUAAAAUAAUCUUUGAACUCCAGUGGACGUGUGUCUUGCAUCCGAAGAAACAUUUAUAUCUAAAGACCGAAAUGUGUCUGAAUCAACGUUUAUGUCAUUGUGGUUACUUGAUAUUUUCCACGACCAAACCUAGCUGACCAACUUUGACACCGUAAACCAUAUAGUGUUCGUUCAUUAUCUUUUUGUAAUUCAAACUUAUAAGCUUUUAACUCCAGAGAGUUGUUUUAACUGAUAAAGGCUUUCACUCUUUCUCUUUAAUUCCUAUUUAAUUUGUGAUGUAUAUAGAGAUUAAUCCAUUUUUCACGACAUACACGGCAAGAAAAAAAAGAAGAGGGCGAUAAUGAAAGAAAGACAACAACAUUACACAUUCGGGUUCUACAAAAGUUUCACGUUUGAAGAGAAUGGAAAGAACAACAAAAACAUCAUGCAACUCUGUAUCUUAGUCUUAUCAUUAUUAUCUUCACAUUUUUAUGCUUUGUCAAAUUAUAGUUUAUUUGCAUUUUUUGUAUACUUCAUUUUUAUUUAUCUGUAUCACACUCAUUCGCUCUAUAAAUAUGAACAGAUAAGUAAGCUUA